rnacentral:rRNA from 1 species
UACGAAGGGGGCUAGCGUUGCUCGGAAUCACUGGGCGUAAAGCGCGCGCAGGCGGUCUUCCAAGUCAGUGGUGAAAGCCUGGAGCUCAACUCCAGAACUGCCAUUGAAACUGUUGGACUUGAGUACGAGAGAGGUGAGUGGAAUUCCCAGUGUAGAGGUGAAAUUCGUAGAUAUUGGGAAGAACACCGGUGGCGAAGGCGGCUCACUGGCUCGUAACUGACGCUCAGGCGCGACAGCGUGGGGAUCAAACAGG